GCCUUGAUGGUGAAAUGGUAGACACGCGAGACUCAAAAUCUCGUGCUAAACAGCGUGGAGGUUCGAAUCCUCUUCAAGGCA
rnacentral:tRNA from 20 species